GACAUCAAGCUCGACGUUUCCACCAUCGACGGAUUAUUUACUGGCAAGGGGAAAAUCGAAGUCAAAACUUAAUUGGAUCCUAUUGAGGAUUAAAAGGAGCUAUUAGCAUAACACAAGGUUAUCACUAAGAAAGAGGCGAUAUUUUCAGCGUAAAAAUAGUCAACCUGCAUGCAACAUCACCUGAAAGUCUUUUCCUAUUGAUUAGAUGAGCCGUCUAAUCCAUGGAUUUUCACACUGUAUCCUGUAAGACGUCUUUCCUCACCGAUCCUUACCGAAAUUACGCGUUCGACUUUCAACCGCUCAGUUACCCGGUGCAAAAUUCAAGUUGAGGUAGACAAUAGUUCUUGUUUUAUAGAUCUAAAAAUAGUUUUCCAGGGAAAAUUCAGGCUCUUGCCAUGCAAAGCCCAUCAAAUAUUAUACUAGGAGUUAGGUCCCCCCCUCCCCGUGUCCCUUGCAAGGAAUACCCCAGUAUUCCUGCUAACUCAUAUCCGCAGAACAUAUUGCAAAAUGACUGUCGGAAAAUCAAUGACAGUCUUUGUGACUCAUUUCACAUCCACUAUAGGUUCUUGAACAUUUUAAAACUGGAUAAUCCUCACGGAAAGAUAAGGAAAAUGUAAUUACAUGUAUCUUGUUUAGUCUCAUACGACCCAAUAACGUCAUUCAUGGUUGUCUCUCACUGAUCUCACUCUCACAAAGAUUGUUGUAUCAUUUUACGGUAAAAAUAAUGUAAAAGUUGGCCUUCAAAUCAAUUUAAAGAAACUGCAUGAUUUUCAGAGCUUAAA